GUGCCAGCAGCCGCGGUAAUACGAGAGGGGCAAGCGUUAUUCAAAAUGAUUGGGCGUAAAGCGCACGUAGGUGGUGAUAUGUAUCCAUAAUUAUUCAGGCUACAAGUCUUGUCGAUAUUUAUGAUGUAUAUGUAUUUCUUGAGGGUGUGAGAGGAGCAUGGAAUUUCCUAGGAAGCGGUAGAAUGUGUUGAUCUAGGAAGGAACACCAAUAGCGAAAGCAGUGCUCUGGCACAUUCCUGACAUUGAGGUGCGAAAGCGUGGGGAUCAAAAGGGAUUAGAUACCCCUGUAGUCCACGCUGUCAACGAUGACCAUUCCCUGUAUUUUGAAAAAUCAAAGUGUAGGUUAGCUAACGCGGUAAAUGGUCCGCCUGAGGAGUACGGUCGCAAGACUAAAACUCAAAGGAAUAGACGGGGGCUCACACAAGUGGUGGAACAUGUGGUUUAAUUCGAUACUACGCGCAAAACCUUACCAGUUCUUGACAUGAUCCUUAUGGAUCACAGGUGUUGCAUGGCUGUCGUCAGCUCGUG
rnacentral:rRNA from 1 species